rnacentral:rRNA from 1 species
GACAGAGGUGCCGAGCGUUAGGCGGAAUUACUGGGCGUAAAGCGUGCGUAGGCGGUUCGUUAAGUCAGCUGUGAAAGCCCCGGGCUCAACCUGGGAAUUGCGGUUGAAACUGGCGAACUAGAAUCUGGCAGAGGGGGGUGGAAUUCCACGUGUAGCAGUGAAAUGCGUAGAGAUGUGGAGGAACACCGAUGGCGAAGGCAGCCCCCUGGGCUGAGAUUGACGCUCAGGCACGAAAGCGUGGGGAGCAAACAGG